rnacentral:lncRNA from 1 species
GCUUACCCAUUCAAAGAGAUAGAUCUUGUCUUCUUCGCGGGAGUUGUCGGUGUUUGGUCGACCAGCAACAGUCUCCAAGGCGACUACCCCAAAUGCAAAAACGUCGGCCUUUUCAGUCAGAUGGCCUCUCAUUGCAUACUCAGGUGCCAGAGUGCCGGCGAUUUUUGUGCUGAUAUGAGUCUUCUUCUCAUCAUAGAGCUUCGCAAGUCCAAAGUCAGAGAUCUUGGGGGUGAGAUCAGUGUCAAGUAA